CACGAGGAGCCCUGGUCCGUUCACAAGCCGCUGUCAUGCACGAGAAGAGGAGAGAGAUCGGGCAGAGAGAGAGACGCGAGGAGGAAGAAGGGAUUCGCACUGCCAGUUGUGCCGCCACCGCCACGGGAGGGUCGCCGUCGUUGCGCUGGCCAUCGUCGUUGUCUGAGACUGUCCACGUCGCCGUUGCCUUGAGCCAGUCCUUGUUGAGGCUGUCGCUGUCGCUGAAAAGGGGAUUUGUGAAGGGAACCACGACGGGAAGAAGACGAAGCUACCUCUGUCGCCACCGUGGAAAACCACAAGCCCGCCGCCAUCAUCAUUGUUAGUGGUGUCACCGUUCCAUGCCGCCGCGUCCUACAACCGCUGCUGUUGAACCACCGUCACUAUGAGGAACAAAACACGCAAAUAGGAGAGAGAAUAGGAAGCCUAGUGGGAGCUCCGUCACUGCCCAGCCGUUGCCAUCGCUGUGGGUUGUGUUGCCGAGUUUCUGUCGCCGGGAUCCACUGCUGUUGUGUCGUUGUGUCUCGGGUCAUCGAAAAUCUACCACUGGAGCUUUUGGUAGCCACCAUCACUAGAAGUAGCUGCCAUCUGAUCGGUUCAGAUGGUCACUGCUACUUUGUUUCUCGUGAGUGUUGUUGCUGUGAUUCUUGAUGCCGCUACAGAUAUUACUUGAAAACAAACAAGGUUGUUGCCGCUACUGUAAAUUGAAAAUAAAAAAAAGAGGAUUUGAUGCGUUUACCUACUGAGCUCAGAUUAAAUCAAGGAGAUGGAUGAAAAAGCUCACGAAGGGUUGUAUUGCGUUUCUCUUAGUUGAUAAUGUUGUUUAGUUUUUAUUUAUUUACCCCUCGCUAUCAAAAUUAUAUAAUGUAAGAGGGAUAAGAGUUGUAUGAUUUGUAUGUAUAUAAUAUGUAUAAGUUACUUGA